GACGAACGCUGGCGGCGUGCUUAACACAUGCAAGUCGAACGGAAAGGCCUGCCUUUUGUUGUGGAUUCCGGGGGCUCGAGUGGCGAAAGGACGAGUAUAACGUGACUGUUAUGUUCCCAUAUUGGGUAUAAGCCGGGGAAACUGGCGCUAAUUCGCGCUUGGACCGCAGGGUGGUGUCUGUAGUGUCGAACGUUUUUGUAGUGCUUGGGGGUGGUCUGGCGGCGUAUCAGGUUGUUGGUGGGGUAAUGUUCGACGAAGGCGGUGGCGGGUAGCCGGCCUGAGAGGGUGGACGGGCACAUUGGGACUGAGAUACGGCCCAGACUCCUACGGGAGGCAGCAGUGGGGAAUAUUGCACAAUGGGCGGAAGCCUGAUGCGGCGACGCCGCGUGGGGGAUGACGGGCUUCGGGUUGUAAACUCCUUUCGACCGCGAGGAAGCCACCUGGUUGGAAGGGUGGUGACGGUAGUGGUAGAAGAAGCACCGGCUAACUACGUG
rnacentral:rRNA from 1 species